rnacentral:lncRNA from 1 species
GAGAAAGAACCCGGAGACAUCUGAGGGGUCCAGGCUGGCAGAAGCAUGAGGGCCACAGAUUUGAGGGAGGGGAACCCUCCAUCCAGAGUGUAGAGAAUGUUCCCAAAGUGAACUCCUCAGGAGACACUUUUUGUUAAUGGGCUCUAUUAUGGAUGAGGUUCCAGACACCUCAGGUGAAAUGUUUCGAGGAGCCAUUCUUUGUUCUAGAUGAGCAUCUAGAGCAUUUCUUCUAGAUAAAGGUCUUGAAUACAACAGAUAAAAUGUCUAGGGAGAUACUCUGUCUAGUCUCAAUUAUAGAUGAGGUUCUAGCACAUUUAGCAGAGGAAUUGUUCUAGAGAGACAUUGCCGGUUCUAGAUUAAGUUCUAGAACACAUCACUGAUAAAACGUCCUAGGGAGAGGACAUCCCUGAGGGAGUCACUCUGAUCUGGAUUCUGUUUAAAGGGUGAGGGCACUGGAGCGCUGCUGCUCUGCUCUGGAGGAUUGAAGCUCCUGCCAUAAUGGUGGGGGAGGGGGCUCUAGAACCACACACGAGUGGAACAUUCUAGGAAUGGGUAUCCCAGUUCUAGACUUCUGGGGUUUAUAGGAGUUCUGUGCCCCUGUCCACCUUGCUCCACAGCCACCUUCCCAAAAGGAAAUCAUCCUCAGAACACCUGAGCCAUUUCAACUGCCAAGUGGUUUCCAGCUGGAAAAAAUUAGCUCUGGGGAUGUGACAUGAAUCUCGGCUCUCAACCACCCUGCAGAUGCAGCUUCCUGGGGCGGCAGAUGGAAAACUGAUUUGUUUUCCCUCACACCUGACAACCCUCCAUUCCCAGGGCCUGAACGUCCUCGGGUGCCCAUGAGACCACCCACCCAGGGCCCCCCUCUCCACUUGGGACAACCAGUCCUGAAUAGGGUGGGGGAGUAUGGGAGUAGGGGUUCUGUAGGGUGAGGCGACAGAGCCUCUAAGCAGAGCUUGGAACCUGUCCCCCCGCACCCUCCCCCCGCCAUGUUCCCACACCCCCAGGCCAACCUAGGUGCGUUCACUGCAAGGGCACAGCUGGUGAUGUUAAGGACAGAUGUAGACCUGGGGUGGGCAUGAGGUGGACCAUGAGAGUCCUAGACUAUGCAAAUUGGAGGGGCACUUAGCCCUCUCUGAUUCAGCCUCCCUUGGGUUAUAGAUGGGAAACUGAGGCCCAGAGUAGUGGCUAGUCUCAUGAGGUCCCAGACUCCUGGCUGUCCCAUCAGAUAGUGACGGGUGACAGUGAAUUUGCUGAGGAUGCAGGGAUGGGGCCAUGCUCAGGGUGCAAGUUGACCCCAAAGGCAGAGAGGGCAGGACUGCCCCCAUUCACACAUAUACACAAGCACACAUCACACCCGUGACGCAAGUCACCUCACCCCCUGGCACACAGGCAACUGCACAGACCCCCACACAGGCCGAGAUGGUGUGUGCAUCCUCUCACCAAUGCGCCAAGAAUGCUUUUCCUUCUUUCUCCUACUUCUCUGAUCUCUAAGAAGCCUCAGGAACCAGGCCUGAAGGUGCUGGGUGGUGGGGGAAGCCCAAGGCUGACCCAGACCCCCUCUGGUGGCUUCAACUGUCCUCCUUGUCCUCUGCCCAAAUCUGUCUUCAGAGACUGGAUUCCAUGGCCAGUGACCCACACGUCAAAGGUGGGAGCAUUGAGGAUGUGGUCCCAGAUCCUGCUGAUCGUUUCUCCAGGGCGGACUGUGCCAGGAGUUUUCACCCCAUGUGGUUUCUCUUAAAUGCCCCCCUGCUUGAAACAUCCCUACAAGAGAGGUGUUAUCAACCCAUCUUUCAGAGGAGGAAACUGAGGCUCAGGGAUGACAUGAGGGUCACCCAUGGCAAGUUGUUUUACUCCCCAGUGUCCUAGAAUGGCCCAUCCGGCUGCCCCAUUCUCCAGCAUCCUAGAAGGAACUGUUAAAAAUCUCCUCCCCAGGAGCUGGGAGUCCUUACAGCUCCAGGAGAUGCCCAGGGAACCAGGGAAUAGGAACGAGGAGGCAGAGCUGGCAGGCUGAGGCGUGGCUUCAGGCUCUUGGGGAAGCCAGGGCCACAUUUUUGGACCUUAUUCCAUCCCCACCCACCACAUUCUCAUCCUACAAAACCUUCCCUCAGGGCCUCUGCCUGCAAGGACAUCUGAGCACGGGAAACGGCAACAGUCAGAGGGCUCUGUGGCUAAAGGGCCGGAGGAGAGGGCUGCAGGCACCUUCUCCUGCCUCACCCUCAGGAAAGAGCUCAGCCCCAUAAGGACCCCCCACAUACACCCAGGAGCUCAGGACCCCAUCCCUCCCAGGCCUGAGGUCCCCCUCUCCACUGGCCUGUCCUCCACUUCAUCCGGUCCCUGCCAGUCCCCUCGUUUCACUGGAAUAGAGAAGUCAGUGUGAGGAAGGGGCGCCAUCCAUUCGAGCUGUUGUUUGGUUUUCCUUUCUGUGACACAAUCUACCUCAGCCAUUCUCUCCCCCCUGCUAGGAUUGGACCCCCCGGGUUCCUGCCUCCUGCUCCCCAUUCAUUCCCUGUCCCCUGCCCCAGCCUGGCUGCUCAGUCCUCCCCAGGAUCCCUACAGGGUCCCUGCAGUGAGAGAAGAUUCCAGAACCACAGCCCAGAGGGGCCCUUGGGGCCCCCUAAGAAAGCUGCCCUCUACAUCUACUAUAGAGGAGAAAUGAAGGCCCAGAGAGGGCCAGAGACUUGCUCAACAUCACACAGGAAGUCAGUGGUAGAGUUAGGCUUUUCCUGGGAAUGAGAGGUAGUUGGGUCUGUCUUAAUUUUGCCAAGAAUAGAAGAAAACAGGACCAAAUAUGUCAGGCUCUGCCCUUCCUUCAGUAUCUCUACUCCUAGGAGAACUUGUCCCCAUUCCCAGGACAGACUUCUGUCUCCCAGUUUUCUUGACUGAUCCCCAAGGCUGCUGACUGUGCUCCCCAACCCUCUCCAGGCACCACACCCCUCUCAUCGCUCUUCCAUGCACUGAUUACCACGUGCCUUGUAACUGUCACCCUGGUUGGACAGCACAGCUCUCCACCCCUCCCCAGCAGGGGGCUCCCUGACAAGGAAGACUUUCUUGGUCCCCUCCUCUCAUCUGCCUCAUCCUUCUGUCUCCCCUAAACCUGCCUUACCCCCAGCCAGCUCCCUGCUACAUCUGUGUCCCACAGAGUUGUGUCACCCAUGAGAGUCAGGGAAAGCAGAAGGCAGGGAGGUGAGGCCUGAGGAAUGUCCAGAUCUUGAGGUAAGGGCCAAGGAAGCUGGGAGUAUCCAGGGAAGAUCUUGCCUGGCAGCCCCCAGUGCCCUCCUAAGUGCUGAACGUCUGUUUCACUGAAGGGGAAGGCCCAGCGAGGCAGCCUGCUCAAGGUCACAAAACGAGUUGGUGGCUGGGUGGGGCCAGAGCCCAGGUCCUUUGGGGUCCCACCAGAACACCCCCAGCCCUGAUGCCCCUCUUCCACUUGUUCUCCCACUCCAGGAACCACUAGCCAUGCCUGAGGGGCUGAUUUCCCUCCCUCAGCACAAAUCCGGGGGAUUCUUCCAUCCCUAAUUGGCCCCCACCCCUGCCCACUUCUGCUCCUGUUCCUGGCCCACCUCCUGGUAUUGACUACAUCUGUGCCAUCCUCAGUCCCACCCCCGCUCACCCCUCUGCGCUUCCCCCAGGAGGGGGAGGGGGCUCCAAGCUGGGGCUUCUGUACUGAGACUCUUUUGUACACCACAAACUUUUUGUAUAUUUUUAAUUUUGCUGCGACAUGAGAUAUUAAAAGUCAUUUCAGUACG